GCUAUUCCAAACCCUUUGCUCAGUCCCUUCUAAGAGGAAAUCCAGGAAAACUGUGUUUGCCUUUGCUGUGAUCUGAAGGCCUCCUUAAUUGUGCUCCCCUGUGAUUAAAUAACUCUUUGAAGGCAUCACUGGGAGUUGUUUCAUCCACGUGGGAAUGGCGCUCGCCAGGAUCGCGGCCUUUGGCUCUGGGCACACGGAGCUUGCUUUGCAAAGGGGGUGCUCAAGAAGAAGCGAAAUGGAAAAACUGAAGACUCGUUCCUGUGCCACGGAUGUGUCCAGCCUGGGAGUGUGGGAUGACUCUGUUGUGCUCCUGAUGGGGCUGAUGCUUGGUGCAAAUACCCACAGCUGAGCACUGAGCCAGGUGGAUAAAUAAGAAUU